GCCCCGGUCUCACGCAUGCGCAGAGGGCCGAUCCAGUUCUUUUCGGCUGGAAUGGGGAAUUUGUGAGGUCAAGGAUGCAUUCCAGGAAAGUUCUAUAAAAAUAUACCAUCAACUCCAACCUGAUAUUUGACCUAGCCAUGGAAAACCUCAUUGGCUCCUCACUGGAUCAGACCAUAAAAAUGAUCCAGGAAUGAAAAUCUAAGAUAAAUUCCCACCACUUCAAGAUGUUCUUAUACAAGUCAACAGUCUAGCAGAUCAGCCAGUCUCUUUCAUCAUCAAGCAGACAUACUCAAGGUACCAACACAGCAAAGGCACAAAAUGUCUCUAUAUCAGUAUUUUUCAUGGUAUAUGUGAGACCCAUUAGUGAGGCAUGAAAUCAAUUCUGUGAGUCACAAUGAACAUUUGUCUAAAAAACAAAAUAAAAUGUAAAAUACCAAAGUGUUUUGCAUGAAUCCUUUGCCUGAAUUGUGCACAUUGCAAGGAAUGCUGAGGUCAAUUUCAAUAUGCGAGAGGGGUAUUUGAUGGAGGAGAUAUGAUGAAUAGAAUGUAUAUUGGCUAAGAAAUGGUUUUCAGUCAUUGAUUCCUGGGUGUCUUGCUUGAUUUUCAUAAUAGCACGGUUAAUGUUCUAUAGUCAAGUUUUAUAUUACAAUUACUUGCAACUAGUUGUGAAGUCUGAAAUAUUCGAUUCAAUUGCAAACUUUGAGUGUAGUUUUUGAAAAGAUGUUAUUUAGACUGUAUAUUUUUUUCUUCUUUUUUGAGUUAGUGCCAAUUAUAACAUUUUAAUCAAACUGGAACAAAUUGCUAUUAAAAUGGAUCAUUUCUUUAUUAAAAGAAAGAGGAAUAGUGAAGUGAAAUAUACAGAAGCAUGUUCAAGUUCAUCUGUUGAAUCUGGAAUUGUGAAUAGUGACAAUAUUGAGAAAAAUACUGACUCCAAUCUGCAAACUUCAACUUCAUUUGAGCCACAUUUCAAAAAGAAAAAAAAGAAAAAUUUGAAACAUUAAGGGAAAACAGUUGGGUAAAAGAUCCAUUUGCUUUUCGACACCCUGAAUCAAUAAUUGAGCUAAACUUGGUGCCUGAAGAAGAGAAUGAAUUAUUGCAGCUUAGUUCUUCAUAUACAUUGAAGAAUGAUUAUGAAACCUUAAGUUUAUCAGCAUUUUGGAUGAAGGUAAAGGAAGACUUUCCAUUGUUAAGUAGAAAGAGUGUCCUGCUAUUGCUACCAUUCACAACAACUAGUUUGUGUGAACUAGGGUUUUCCAUCUUAACGCAGUUAAAAACAAAGGAAAGAAAUGGGCUGAAUUGUGCAGCAGUUAUGCGGGUAGCAUUAUCUUCCUGUGUUCCAGACUGGAAUGAACUUAUGAACAGGCAAGCACACCCAUCAUAGUAAAUAAAAAUCUUACCUAGCUUUUGUCUUUGUAUUUCUUAUUUUGUAGUAUUUUUCUAUGUUAUAUUUAAAUGGUACUAUAAUACUGUGAUACUUUUGUUAUGUUUUAAUUUUUGUUAUAUUUAAUAAAAUUAUUUUAUGUUCAUUGAACAAAAAUUUAAUGAAUUUCUGUUAGAGGCCAGGAACUAUUCUAGAGACAUUUGGGAUACAAAAGUGAACAAAACAGGUAAUUCCCUAGUAGAGUUUAUAUCCUGGCAAGGAGAAAUUGACAAUAAACCUAAUAAAUAAGGUUUAUAAUAUUUAGAAGCUAUUAAGUGCUAUGGAAAGAGUAGUAAGAAGGAAGGUCAGGGAAGUACUGGGGAACCAAACCAUGAAGGGUUCUGUAGACCAUUAUUGGGCCUCUGGCUUUUGUCAGUGGACUAGAGAACAGUUGAAGGGUUUAAGCGAAGGAGAGAAAUGAUCUGAGCUAGGUUUUAAAAGACACUCUGGUCACUAUUUUAAAUUCUUAGGGUAAGUCUGAAUUAAAUGUUACUUUCCCCUCACUGGGCAUGGUGGCUCAGACCUGUAAUCCCCGCACUUUGGCAGGCCAUGGCAGAAGGCUCUGUUGAGCCCAGGAGUUCAAGACCAUCCUGGGCAACAUAGUGAGACCUUAUUUCUACUAAAAAUAUUUUAAAAAUAAGUCAGGUGUGGUGGUGCACACCUAUAGUCCCAGCUACUCAGGAGGCUGUGGCAGGAGGGUCGCUUGACCUCAGGAGUUUGAAGUUGCAGUCAUCUAUGAUUGCACCACUGCAGUCCAGCCUGAGCAACAGAGUGAAACCCUGUCUCGAGAAAAUUAAAUGUUACUUCCCUAAAAAAACCUUUUCUAACCACCCUAGGGUAAAUCCUCCAUUAUUCCUUUAUUUCUUUGUUUUCCUUGUAGUAUAUAAUUUGUAAUAAUUUUGAUUACUGAUUGUCAUUCUGCCACCCUGGAGUAUAUAAUUUUUAAUUAUCUGAUUACUGUUAUUCUUCCAUAGUAGGGGAGGUGAUAUCCAUUUGCCUGAUACAUAGUAUGUGUUCAAUACACAUUUGCUAAAGAAUAAAUGAAUCAAUAAUACCUAACAUCUCUAAUUUGCAGUCAUUCCCAAGAGUAAUUAUUAAAUAUGUGGCAAAUUUCUUUGCCUUUUUACUUUUAAAAAUCUAAUUUUGACAUAACUGCUGUAACCAUCCAGAAACGGCAUUGAUGUUGCUUCACGUUGCUGAUGCUUAAGCAAUGUAUAUUGUGUAAUAUACAAUGUAGUCUUCAAACUAAUUUCAACUUCUGCCUUUCUGUGUACUCCCUUAUCCCACUGGGUGAUAUUAUUUGGCAUGGUCAUUGUCAUUAAAAUCAUACAGGAUAGUAAUUCCUUUCCAUCUGCUACCAUGCCUAGCCUUAUUUAAUUUUUCAGAUUUUCUGUUCUAUUGAAGGUAAUUGAUUUUUUCUUUUUUUUUAAUGCUUGAAAUAAAGUGUUGAAAAACAA
rnacentral:lncRNA from 10 species